AUGCAUCCACAGCCGCUCGAUUGGAUCCGCAAUGUUUUCUUCCUUCGCCACAGGAAACAAAAGAAAGCCGUCCGCUCGCAUCGAGCAAGGCCACGCCCCUCCCACUGGCAGAUCGAAGUUCCCCUCCGGCUUGCCUCGCCGCCGUCGUGCAGCACGCGCCCCACGCCCCUGCUGUCAACAGUAGCCUCCCGCGCGCCCCUCGCCGGUGCUGCCCACCCUCCUGUCGAAACAAAUAUGUCCAGUGCUGUAGGCCUUUGCAGCUCAGCGAGUGUCCCCACCCCCACUGGUUGUAGCACCGCCGGGUGGGCGUUUCCAGCAUCGCCACCAGCCAUCGUCAAUCCCGUCAACUGGUCAACGUUGUCGCUGGUGCAGCACCACCGCCUCGCUUGUGGUUCCAGUGGUCAUCCCGCUCUGAAAAGAAGUUGUUCCAACAAAACAAAUCGCUGGUUUCAAUAG
rnacentral:rRNA from 1 species